UCAUCUCUGUUUGUGUGUUAUUUUCAGCACCAUAAGCUUUUUGACAUAUUUAUUGCACAAAUCUAAAUAAUCUUCUUUAUAUAUCAAGGGACAUAUUAUAUUUAAUAUAUUGUCUCCAUUUACCCUUUGUUCAAAACUUGAGUAGUUGGAGGGGUUGCAUUUAUAUAUUUGAACAGUUGUGAUUGAGUUAGUUGACUGCAACAUUUGGUGAGGAGUGUCAUAAUUGGUGAUUCAUGAUUUUUGUGUAAACUUCACAUGCUACUUUAAAAUCUGUAAAAAAGCUGUUUUAAAACAUUAUUGUAUGUUUAAUUUGUGAAAGUAAUUCAUAUACCUAAUGAUAAAUGAUAUCUAUAUUCAGACAGUCUAAAUAUCAUAUCUGUGUUUUAAUCUAUUUAUUCUUUAAAAAUAGGUAAGAAGAAUAAUGGAAGGCAAUCAUCGGAUGGGAAUGGUUAUCACUGAUUCUUCAACAGGUUCCUUAGCCGAGUAUGGCUGUGAAGUGGAAAUCACUGAGUGUGAGCCACUUCCAGAUGGUCGUUUCUAUAUAGAGGUGAAGAUAUAUCAUUUUUCUUCUUAUAUCAUUUUCCUUAU